ensembl:lncRNA
GUAUAAUAGAUAUUGAAAAGAUAAAUACAAGUUGAAUAGUUGAAUGUCUUGUCUUCGUUUUAAAGUUUGAAUGGUGGCUCUAUGUCAAUGUAUGUGGAAGUAGUAAGAGUUUAAAAAUGAGUAAGUUGAAUGAGGAUUUGAAGGGUCUCCCCAUUGAAAUACAUUAUAAAUUUUUGUUGAAUAAAGUUGAAUAAAAUUAAAAAUAUAAAUGUUAAAAAUAUGAAAAAUAGAAGCAGUGUUGUCCAAAAGAAUAGGAAUCUAACGGUGUUUGAAUGGUUUUUCUAAGUUGAACGGUUUUGAAGGAGUAGGAUUACAAAAAACGUACGGAAUAGAUAAUAAUAAUAAUAACUAGAAAGUGCAUUUUCUGAAGAAACUGCAGUGUGAAUGCUUGAAUCUGAAUGUAUGCACUGAAAUGAAUUAAUUGCUGAAUUUUGAGUUAAAAAUAUUGAAUGAGAUAAAAAAAAAAAAAAACCGAAUUUAACCUGAAAACAAAAGUGCUGAACUGCUAAAAGCUGAAGGUUACACAGAAGAAGAAGUUGGAAAAAAGCUGAAAAUGUUUUAAUUGUAAAUUAGAAAAACCUAAGAAAUGAGAAAAGAACAUUUAGAGUCAGAAAACAUCUGAAAGAAUAUUAAAAGGUCAUAUUCUUUGAAUCACUGAAUGACUAAAAUGUGAUCCCUCCACUUGGAUCCACACAGUUUAAAAAGUUUAAAUCCUGAGCUUUGAAAGACACAGUGUUGGAAAGAGAACAACGAUGGCGACGUUUUGAGGGUAAAAUGAUGGCUGUAACACUGUGGACACAGCAGCAGUUGAAAGAGAAGUGUUUAAGAUGAAUCUUGGCAGAGUGGCAGGCAGAGCUCGUUAAGCAGGCAGGUGUGAGCCUGGUUGCUAUAGUGACCGCACCCAAUGGCUCCAUACACACGUACACAGACAUGCGCCUCACUUUUGCUGCUUAAAAUGAAC